GUAAAACUUUGAUAAUUUGCUCUUUGUCAUAUUUAUAUGUUAUUGAUAUCGUAUUUUCUCCCCCAGUGAAACAUAUUAAUAAAGCAUCUAUAUAUGCUUAUAAAUAACUGAUAGCGGAAGGUUGCAUACGGUAAAACUCUAUGGAAUUGGACGUCUUCGAUCAUCAAUAAAAAGCCGAGGUAUUGUCGCAUGCAAGGUUUCCGUAACUUUACUCCGAGAUGAAUUAAUGACGGAAAUGGCUUCGCUACAAGUGGGAUGGAAGUUUUUAAAAUGAGAAAUAUUAUUUUAUCUUUUUGCCUAUUUUUGAUAUUGAGAACAACGAACGGUGGACGGUAUCAGUAUUGUUCAGACGGAUGCUGUGAACAUCAAUUUUGUGCCUUUAAAGCUAUUUGCUAUCCCAGGCUUAACUGUAAACAAGGAUGCCCAGAUGGCUCCUGUGAAAAUGGAUUAUGUAUGCCACACAAAAUGUGUUUCCUUAACUCAGCGUGUAAAAUGGGGCAUGUUUGUACAAUGAACUUUAACCUUGGUUACAGAACAUGUCAGUAUGAUCUGGAUAUUGGAAGAUCGUUGUGUGUUGAUAGAUUUGGUCGGCCGGAUGUCAAAAAAUACCCAUGAUUCAGUAUCGUUUAAUUGAUCUUUGCAAUUAUCACCUCUUCGUAUUACUGUCAUGUUUGUCUUAAUCACAGCAACGUGUACAAUGCACGUCAAUCAGAACUGUCUGUGAUUGAGAGAUUAAAAGCAAAAUAAUUAGGGAACGAACUAUUCAUACCGUGCUUAAUUCACUGAAAGAUAUACAUCACUACAUAAAAUUGAAAAGGAACAGUUAAACAUGAUUUUUAAACAAGAUUGCGAAUAAAUGUUGGACAUGUAACUGUUUUUUUCUUGUCUCUUUUUUAAUUAAAUUCAUAAUUAUCAUUCA